CCAGGAGGGUGACAUCCUCUUGGCCGUCAACAGCCUGUCGCUCAAGGGGCUGUCCUAUCCAAAGGUGCUAAGCUGUUCAAGACUUCACUACCUGUGGUUCGACUCUCUCUGUUGGCCUAACCCAGGGGUUCUUCCUUCCAUUGAUCAGUUCACUGGCAUAUGAGUGAUCCAACAGCGUUACACAGCAUCAGUGGCUGUUU